AAAAUUACUUGAGAACAACAAUGCGACAAGAUAGACUCAACGGCCUGGCUCUGAUGAACAUUCAUAAGAAUACAAUAAAUGUGGAUCCUUUGGAGGUAAUUGAAAAGUUUGCUCAAAAGCACACAAGGCGUUUACAGUUCCUGUACAGCGACUAGCGAUGAAUGACAGUAUUAAUUCUCAGACCAUCACUUCAAGUCUCCAAACAAAAGUUCCAACUGUGUCCCCAUCAUUAUUUAUUCAUCUCCAGGCAGUAGAACUAUUUCGAAAUAUUAAAUGUACGAUGUACUUAAAAAUAAAUCCUUUUCAUAUUUUUAAUCUGUCUUUUAUUAACUUUAAUGUAUUUCAUUAUUAAA